GGAGACUGUUGGGCCUCAUUUGGGGGUUUGCAGUCGACAUAGAAGCUGAAAGUUGCUGAUCUGUGCUCCUGUGGACGUCUCUGAAUCAUCCUGCAAGCAGCCCUCUGGACAAGAGUGGAUAGGAGUAUCCUAAUUACUGUUGGGUGGACCAAGGGAAAGACUGGGAACUUCAGCCAUUCUCUAGACCAUCUAGGAUUCCUCAUCUGGACUCCAACCUCUACUUCCUAAAACACUCCAUAUGUAAGAUCUCUGUAAUUUGUUGGACUGGCCCUUAAGAGUUUAGGAUGAGAUAAGCCAAAAUAGGUGGCAGAACCAACUCAAGUGCUUAUGUUUUGAACAAGGUCAGAAGGUCUAUGGUUUAAACCUAUUUUGGGUUGCCAGGAAACAAACCCUGAAAUGACAGAUUCUGGCAGAAGAACUAAGCUAUCUUGACAUUUUUAUUUAAAGAAAAAGAAUGCCAUGGCACUUUUUGUGGUCAUCCUUUCAGGGACAUCUCAGGCUGCGGAACUACAAGUUUUCAGUGUUCCCAAAGUCAUCUUGUCAAGACUUGUGUCUUGCUAAGGACAAAGUUGAAAUAUCUUUUAAACCAACUAUCUUCAGACUUCAACACGUGAAGACCAGCACUGGCAAACAUUUUUAGAGUUCAAGUGCCCAAAGGAAUGACUUGGAGAAGGAAAUGGCAAACUCUUCCAGCAUUUUUGUGAAGAAAACCUCAUAAGGUUCAAGAAGAGUUGGGCAACACUGAAACAACUGGACAACACCAAUAUACAGAUUGUUACAGAACUGGAACAACCUCCAGGAAUUGAUGCAGAGUGAGAAGAGCAGAACCAGGAGAACAUUGUACACAGAGACUGACACAUUGUGGUACAAUCAAACGUAAUGGACUUCUCCAUUAGUGGCAAUGCAGUGACCCUGAACAGCUCGGAGGUAUUUACGAGAAAGAAUACUAUCUACACUCAGAAGAAAAAUUGUGGGAGGAGAAACACAGAAGUAAAACAACUGCUUGAUUACAUGGGUGGAGGGGGAUAUGAUUGGGGCUGUAGACUCUAAAUGAUCAUCUGAGUGCAAACAUCAACAACAUGGAAAUAGGUUCUGAUCAAGGACACAUGUAAAACCCAGGAGGGAGGGAAAUAAUAUGAUUCUUGUAACCAAGGAAUAAUGUUCUAAAUUGACUAAAUAAAAUUUUAAAAAAAGAAAAAAUUCUAUCAUCCAUAAUUUAAAAAAAUUGACUUCCAAAAUAUCUUACUUUCUCUUUCCCUUCCCCAUCAUUUGUGAAGGCAAACAAUAUGGUAUAGAUGCUUUAUAUGAAGUCAUGUAAUAGCCAUUUUCCUAUUAGUAAUAUUGCAAAGGAAAAGACAUACAAAAAUAAAACAAGAGAAAUGAAGAAUUUUGAAGUAUAUUUCGAUCUGCACUUGGAGUACAUAAGUUUUCAGCAUUUUGCAUUAUGAAUCCCUUUGGAUUGUCUUGAUUAGAGAAGUUGGUAAGUCCCUCAAACUUUAUCAUUGUUACAAUAUUGCUAUUACUGUGUACAAUGUUCCCCUAAUUCUGCUUCUGUAGUUUUUAUCAGUUCAUAUAAAUCUUCUCAGGGCUUUUUUUCUGAAACCAUCCUAUACAUAAUUUCUUAGAGCAUAAUAAUAUUGCAUCACAAUCAUAUAACACAAAUUUCUCAGCCACUCUCAACAUGAUUGGUAUCUAUCUCUUCAAUUUCCAAUUCUUUGCCACCACAAAAAUAGUUGCUAUAAAUGGUUUUUAUAUAAAUAGAUCCUUUCCUCCUUUUUUCAUCACUCUAGAAUAUAAAUCUAGCAGUGUAAUUGUUAGGUCACUGGUUAGACAGAGAUUUAUAAUCAUUUUGUCAUAGUUUCAAAUUGUUCUUCAGAAUGGUUGGAUUAGUUCACAAUUGUACCAACAGUGCAUUAGUAUUCUAAAUUUUCUACAUCUCCAGGACAUAUUUUCAUUUUCUGAUAUAUUAGAUAAUCUGCUAGAUGUGAGGUGCUAUCUCAGAGUAGUCUGAAACUUACAUUUCUCCAAUUAAUAGUGAUUUAAAACAUUUCUUCAUAUGAAUAUUGAUAGCUUUGUUUUCCUCAUCUGAAAACUGCUUGUCUAUCUAUCUGACCAUUUAUCAACUAUGGAGUGGUUCUUAUUUUUAUAAAUGUGGCUCAAU